AGUUUAAAGAUGCGUUACAUCAAAUUACAUUCAAAUUUAUAUAUUGGAGUUUAUGUAUGAUAGACGGACCGUCCCCCCGAGAGGGUUAAUCCGUCUCACAAGUGCACAGGUGUGUGUGGAUGAACAGAGAAGGCGUGCACAUGCCUCGGUGAAGAGGCCAGCGACAACCAACUCCGAUUUCAUUCAAUAAUGAUCCUUCCGCAGGUUCACCUACGGAAA
rnacentral:misc_RNA from 1 species